rnacentral:misc_RNA from 1 species
GCAAACUUGGUCAUUUAGAGGAAGUAAAAGUCGUAACAAGGUCUCCGUAGGUGAACCUGCGGAGGGAUCAUUACCGAGUUCAUGCCCUCACGGGUAGAUCUCCCACCCUUGUGUAUUUUAUGUUUGUGUUGCUUUGGCAGGCCGUGGGCGCAGCCCACCACCGGCUCUCGGGCUGGUGCGUGCCUGCCAGAGGACCCCCCAAACUCUGUUUGUCAGUGUCGUCUGAGUAUGAUAACAAUCGUUAAAACUUUCAACAACGGAUCUCUUGGUUCUGGCAUCGAUGAAGAACGCAGC